UUCAGAAACAACUGAUCUUUAUUUGAAAAAUAGAAUACAAAGUACAACAGAAAUGACGGAAGCAGAGCUUCCAGUGAACAGGCAAAACAAAUCUGACACAAGGGUAAAAAAAACAACAACAACAACAACAACAAUAAAAAUAAAGUGUCACUUAGCUUCUCAAGAGAAUCGGGCGAGCACUGGGCAGAAAUGGCUCAAGACUGAACACACUAGCUUUUUACACACAAACUUUUAUAGGGCAAAACACAGGUGUUGCUAAUCUAGCUUGAGUGGUGGCACAAUGUAGA